UAUUUAGCGGUGUCUCUGCCAAUGAAAUGGCUGGAAUGGAAUGAGCCUACGCUUGAUUUGGGACAAGCUAUUGAGAAUGACAAGUCGGGGAUCCCUCGACUAAGAAGAAUCUUUGAGAGACGAAACUAAGUCUGGUUGCCAAGGCGUUUGCUGGUGCUACUGCUAUUGUAUUCGGUGGUGCCACCUUGGCAUUUGGAUUGGCAGCCUCAAAGCUGGAACUGCACAAUGCUGAUGAUAUACGGACCAAAGGAAAAGACAUUAUUCAUCCAAGAUUAGAAGCAGUCAAGGAGCAACUGAGUCCCUUCAGAACUUGGGCGGAAGACACGUCGAAGAAAUGGCAUUUGGAAAGGGGAGAAGACUAUAAAGAGAAGCCUCUGAUAAAGGAGCUUUCCAAAAUACUUGGUGCAAACUGCAAAGCCAUCCAGCUAACUCUGUUAAAAGAUUUUGUGUAAAUACUAAAUAGAUAGAAUUCUGUAAUAGUGCACCUGUUGGUUGUUACCCUGGAAAUAAGAUGUUUGCUGUUGUUGUUGUUGUGCUAGUAGUAGCUUUUGAUAAGUAAAUCCUAUACAUUUUUUCUUAUGGGACAAUUCUUGAUGUAACUUAGAAUGAUUUGGUUGAUAGCUGAUUUACUA